CCGCGUGAGGGAUGACGGCCUUCGGGUUGUAAACCUCUUUCAGUAGGGACGAAGCGAAAGUGACGGUACCUGCAGAAGAAGCACCGGCUAACUACGUGC
rnacentral:rRNA from 1 species